rnacentral:rRNA from 1 species
UACGUAGGGUGCAAGCGUUGCCCGGAUUCAUUGGGCGUAAAGCGCGCGCAGGCGGCCUUCCAAGUCCCGCGUGAAAUCGCCCGGCUCAACCGGGCGGGGUCGCGGGAGACUGGGGGGCUCGAGCGAGGGAGGGGGCAGUGGAAUUCCCGGUGUAGUGGUGGAAUGCGUAGAUAUCGGGAGGAACACCAGUGGCGAAGGCGGCUGCCUGGACCUCUGCUGACGCUGAGGCGCGAAAGCGUGGGGAGCGAUCCGG